rnacentral:tRNA from 1 species
CGUCCAGUCCGGUUAGGACAUCAGGUUCUCAUCCUGGUAACAUCGGUUCGAAUCCGAUUGGGGUCA